ensembl:lncRNA
AUUUAUCUUAUUUUUUACUGUUUUAUAGAUCAGCCAUUUCUGGAGCCCCAGAAGAAGAGAUGGAAGCAUUGAAGAAGAAUAAGCCUCCACUGCUUCCUGUCCCAUCACAAUCUAGAACUUGCUCUGAUGGUGAGACAAUUCAUUUUGUGAUAAUCAGAAAAAAAAAGUUCUUACAAGAUUGGUAAGAAAAAACAUGAUCAACUUUAAUAUGUUCUUUCCCCUCCAGGACUUUCCAUUGACCCUACAAUGGUUAGCCAAGGUACUAAAAGAAAACGAGAUCAUGAAUCAUCUCACUCGAAUAUAGAGCCACCACUGACAACAGAUAUGAUCACGGAGGAUGCUAGACAAAUUCUGAAAAGAGUCACUAAAAACUCCAAUCAAAUCAAUAUAGGCAGCAGGAAGAAAGCAACCAUAGGGAUUUUUGGAAAAUCAGGAGAAGGAAAGAGCUCCCUUUUAAGUCCUCAUUUAUACUCCCAUGCCUUUAAUUAUACUUCUUUAUAAAUAUGUAAAUUAAUCAGACUGUAGGGAAGUGAUCCUCAAAUCUGGCUUGUGAGAUCCACUUUUCUGUAGAGUUUAGCUCCAACCCUAAUCAAACAAACCUAUCUGUGAUUUUCUAAUGAUCCUGAAGACAUUGAUUAGCAAACUCAAGUGUGUUUGAUUAGUGUUAGAGCUAUACUCUGCAGGAAAGUGGAUCUCGUGAGCCAUAUUU